CAGGCCUAACACAUGCAAGUCGAACGAAGCCUUCGGGCUUAGUGGCGCACGGGUGCGUAACACGUGGGAAUCUGCCCAAAGGUACGGAAUAACUCAGGGAAACUUGUGCUAAUACCGUAUGAUGCCGAAAGGCCAAAGAUUUAUCGCCUGGGAAUGAGCCCGCGUAGGAUUAGCUAGUUGGUGGGGUAAAGGCCUACCAAGGCGACGAUCCUUAGCUGGUCUGAGAGGAUGAUCAGCCACACUGGGACUGAGACACGGCCCAGACUCCUACGGGAGGCAGCAGUGGGGAAUAUUGGACAAUGGGCGAAAGCCUGAUCCAGCAAUGCCGCGUGAGUGAUGAAGGCCUUAGGGUUGUAAAGCUCUUUUACCCGGGAUGAUAAUGACAGUACCGGGAGAAUAAGCCCCGGCUAACUCCGUGCCAGCAGCCGCGGUAAU
rnacentral:rRNA from 1 species